GAUGGCAUCUCUAAGUUCUAAGAUCAAUCACCAUAUUUUCCAUAGAUCAAUCAACUAUCUAACUUUCUUAAACAAUCAUGACCAUCUUGCAAAAUUUUUAUGAUCAUAUAUCAUUAUAUUUUUUUUUUCACCAAGCCUCUUCUCUUCAAUUUUCGUUUCUUCUCCUUUUUCUGCUCCUCCUUCUUUGCAGCAUUCUCCUUUCCUUCUCCUUUAUUGUAGAGGUGAAAAUAGCUGUCUUCCUUCAUUUGACUAAUCACAUAAGUAGAGACCAACUGUACAUGUAUAAAAAAAGAUAAAAUAUUAAAAUUCAAAUGACGAUAAUCAAACAAAAUAAAUUAAAAAGUCAAUUUUAUACCGUAUAUGGUACGCGUAACUCUUGUAGUACUGAGUCGUAAU
rnacentral:lncRNA from 1 species